rnacentral:rRNA from 1 species
UACGAAGGGGGCUAGCGUUGCUCGGAAUCACUGGGCGUAAAGCGCACGUAGGCGGCUUGUUAAGUCAGGGGUGAAAUCCUGGAGCUCAACUCCAGAACUGCCUUUGAUACUGGCGAUCUUGAGUCCGGAAGAGGUGAGUGGAACUCCGAGUGUAGAGGUGAAAUUCGUAGAUAUUCGGAAGAACACCAGUGGCGAAGGCGGCUCACUGGUCCGGUACUGACGCUGAGGUGCGAAAGCGUGGGGAGCAAACAGG